GAGCUUUCUAGGGGGGAGAGAAGGCCUUCCGUCCUCUGGAGGAGCGGGGUGCGGCUGCUAGUGCCGCCCGCACCUGGGGAAUCAGAACAGCCGAGUUGGCGAGCAGGACCGGAGCCCUUCCAGCCCGACCUGAAUUCUCUUUCUCCCCCACUGAAAAGCUAGAAAGCAAUAACACGCCUCAAUCAGUAUUCUAAGUCCAUCACUUCUCUGCUGGAGGAGGGAACAGGAAAAAGUUAAUAACAACAGGAUAUUUCUCUUGGAGUCUGAGUUGCUGAAUUACAGUGUCUCCCAAUGUUCUCACUGAUGGAUGGAUUCCCUCCACAAUAAAGAUGACAACACAACCCACAAAGGAUUCAUGGACAGUAACAAGAGUGAAUGGAAAACAUCUGCAUGAUGUUUGAUGUUUGAUGUUUAAUGUUCUGAACAUUUUCUUAAGAGGUAAAAUGAAAAUCAAGCAAUGAUGGUGAAACAAUGUACAGGAAGCUUCAGA